UUUUUAUUUCUCUCUUUAGGGAAGAUGAGAAUUUAUAUUUAUAAUGUUAUAAUUAUUUAUAUAAGUUUUUCGCAUUCCUAGGGCGCUUGUUUCACGCUUUGCGUGUCAAUGCGCACCCAGAGCGUACACGCUGAUACCCGAAAGAUGGUGAACUAUGCCUGGCCAGGACGAAGCCAGGGGAAACCCUGGUGGAGGUCCGCAGCGAUUCUGACGUGCAAAUCGAUCGUCGGAGCUGGGUAUAGGGGCGAAAGACCAAUCGAACCAUUUAGUAGAUGGUUCCCUUUGAAGUUUCC
rnacentral:rRNA from 1 species